rnacentral:rRNA from 1 species
CCUACGGGGGGCAGCAGUGGGGAAUAUUGCACAAUGGGGGAAACCCUGAUGCAGCGAAGCCGCGUGAGUGAAGAAGCGUUUCGGCGCGUAAAGCUCUGUCAGCGGGGAAGAAACACGGUUCGCGAGAGCCGCGGACGGUACCCGACCAAGAAGCCCCGGCUAAAUACGUGCCAGCAUCCGCGGUAAGACGGAGGGGGCAAGCGUUAUCCGGAUGCACUGGGUGUAAAGGGAGCGUAGACGGCGAGACAAGUCUGGAGUGAAAGGCAGGGGCCCAACCCCGGGACUGCUCUGGAAACUGCCUGGCUGGAGUGCAGGAGCGGUAAGUGGAAUUCCUGGUGUAGCGGUGAAAUGCGUAGAUAUUAGGCGGAACACCGGUGGCGAAGGCGGCUUACUGGACUGUAACUGACGUUGAGGCUCGAAAGCGUGGGGAGCAAACAGGAUUAGAUACCCGUGUAGUC